rnacentral:rRNA from 1 species
GACGAACGCUGGCGGCGUGCUUAACAUAUGCAAGUCGAACGGAAAGGCCCUGCUUUUGUGGGGUGCUCGAGUGGCGAACGGGUGAGUAACACGUGAGUAACCUGCCCUUGACUUUGGGAUAACUUCAGGAAACUGGGGCUAAUACCGGAUAGGAGCUCCUGCUGCAUGGUGGGGGUUGGAAAGUUUCGGCGGUUGGGGAUGGACUCGCGGCUUAUCAGCUUGUUGGUGGGGUAGUUGCUUACCAAGGCUUUGACGGGUAGCCGGCCUGUGAGGGUGACCGGCCACAUUGGGACUGAGAUACGGCCCAGACUCCUACGGGAGGCAGCAGUGGGGAAUAUUGCACAAUGGGCGGAAGCCUGAUGCAGCAACGCCGCGUGCGGGAUGACGGCCUUCGGGUUGUAAACCGCUUUCGCCUGUGACGAAGCGUGAGUGACGGUAAUGGGUAAAGAAGCACCGGCUAACUACGUG